UUUUUUGACACCAGAGCAUGGUCUAGCUUGUCGAAUGUUCCAUGAGAACUUGAGAAGAAGGCAUGCGCUGCUAUUGUUGGAUUCAGAAUCUACAAAUGUCAAUUAGAACCUGUUGAUUGACAGGUUGUUCAGCUCAACUGCAUCCUUACUGACUUUUCUGCCUUCCCGGAUCUGUCAGACUCAAAAGGAGGCGUCAAAGUCUCCAACUUCCAAUUAUUCAAUAAUAUUCUUAUCCAAAUAAUCAUGGAUUUGUCCAUCUCCCCUUAAGGUCUAUCCGGUUUUGCUUCACGUUAUUUAGACUCUCCUCUUUUAGUCAGCUAUUUUGCUGCUGUGACAAAAAGACCCCGCAAGAACAAUUUUAAGGAGGAGAAGUUUAUUUGAGGGCUCAAGGUUUCAGAGGUCGCCAUCCCCAGUCAGCAGGCUCCAUUCCUGGGGCUCCAGGUGAAGCCGAACAUGACGGUGGAAGAGGGUGGCAGAGGGAAGCAGCUCACAGGAUGAUCAGGGAGCAGAGAGAGUCCACACCCCAGAUGCAGAUAUAGACCCCAAAGCCACGCCCCCAAUGCCCACUCCUCCAGCCACACCCUACCCACCAUCAGGGGAUUAACGCGCUGAUUGGGUUAAGCCUCUUAUAACCCAAUCUCUCCACCUCUGAAUGUUCUUGCAUUGUCUGUCACAUGAGCUUUUAGGGGACCCUUCACACCUAAACCAUGACACUCUCUGAUUUUUUAGCUACAUCUACAUUGAAGACUUUUAUUGGAGAAGCAUUUGAUUACUCUUAGUUUGGUAUAUCCCUCCUGGCACUUUUAAUCCAACUGUGCCUUUAUAUUUACCCUUAGUUUCUUAUUAACAUUUAGUUGGGUCUUUUUUUUUUUUUAAAUCCACUCUAGCAGUCUCUGACUUUUACUUGGUGUAUUUAGACCAUUUACAUUUAAAGUGAUUAUUGACAUAACUGAGCUAAUAUCUACUAUGUUGGAAAUUGUUUUCUAUUCAUUUCAUUUUUUUUGUUCUGUUUUUGAAAAACAAUCUUCUCUUUUUCUGCCCCUUCUAGUUUUAAUUGAACAUUUGACGUGAUUCAGUGUGCUCUCAACAUUUCAGUUUCAGUUUACACAAUUCUUGCUCUCUGGUCAUUCUCAGCAUGGCAUUACAGAAAGGCAAGAAGUCUAAGAGAUCAUUUUGAAAUUUUAAUUUGGACCUGAGUCAUCCAGGAGAAUUUUUUUUUUUUUCAGAGCUAGGGAUUGAACUCAGGGCCCGGCACAUGCUAGGCAAGUACUUUGCUAAAUCCUCAGCCCUAAAAAUGGAAUUUUUGAUCCUGGAAAUUUGGGUACCUUCCCUAGUGAAUAGUCAAGGUUUUAUUUCCUAGUUUUGCAUUUUCCUAUUUUAAAAUAGAUUCCUAUUUAAAACUCAUAUGGGAGAAGUUUGAAGGCAAUAGAACCCCUGGAAAUCUCAGGACUGUUAUUCACGUUGAAUGCUCCUAGAUUAAAAUCACAGCUGUUUCUGAGAAACAGUUCUCUUAAAGAGGUCUGAAAUAUCUUAUCAAGAAACACUUUAAGAAGCUGGAGUUGUGGCUUGGGGCUGGGGUUGUGGCUCAGUGUACAGCACUUGCUUAGCACGUGUGAGGAGCUGGGUUCAAUCCUCAGCACAACAUAAAAAUAAAAUAAAGACAUCUACAACUGUCUAUCUACAACUAAAGAACAUUUUAAAACUCAAAGAAAUACUUUAAGAAGCAUAAUCCUCAUGAUUGGCUUCAUAUGACUAUAUCAGAUAAGGAGAUUUAUGAAUUUCGUCACUUCCUCCUUAGUCAAGGUGAAGAAGGCUCAGUGUCUGAGGACCGGGUAAAGUCUCUUGCUCUAGGGUUUUGCUUUUGAAUACAACAAAUGAAGUAUACGUGAGAAAGAAACAUCUAAGAUGGAUUUUUAGUUUAUCAGUGGAUAAAACACAUAGUACUGACAAUUUUCAGUGGUUGUUGUAGAGUUUGCGAUAUUUGUUAACAACCUCGUCUGAAACCAUUUUUCAAAUAACACUAUCAGGUCACAGAGUGUACAAGAGCCUUAUAACCAACUAGUUCCCAUUCCUCCUUCCCAUCCCUAUCCCAUUCAUUUUAUUCCAUUCAUUUCAUUUAUCCAUCUGCUGUAACUGCCCAAUGUAUUGCUGUUAUUAUUAUUAUUUUGAAUUAAGAGUGAUUAGAUCAAUUAAUUUUUUUAGAAUUUUUUAUUCCACAUUAUUUCAUUGGUUCUCAGAUCUUGCUCUUAUGUAGACAGAAGUUUCUGACCCAGGUCCUUUUCCGUCUCUCUAAAGCAUUUCUUAGAAGGCGGACCUGUUGGCAACAAAUUCCCUUUGUUUUUAUUUGUCUGGGAAAAUCUUUAUUUGUUCUUCACCUUUGAAGGACAAUUUUGCUGGAUAUAAAAUUUUAAGUUGGUGGGGUUUCUUUCAACACUUGAAAUAAUUCGCUCCUGGGGCUUAAACAUGGAUGUGCACCUGAGGAACUUCCGGAUCCGGGGGCCUGAACAUGGACGCCUGAAAUGCUUCUGGAUCCAGGGUCUUAAACCUGGACGUGCACCUGAGGAAUUUCCAGUUGCUAUGGCCUAAACAUGGACGCCUGAGGAACUUCCGGAUCUGAGGGCCCAAAGAUGAACGUGUACCUGAGGAACUUUGGAUCCGGGGGGCCUAAACAUGGACCCCUGAGGAACUUCGGAAUCCUAGAGUCUCAACAUGGAUGCGCACCAAAGGAACUUCCGGAUCCUAGAGCCUAAACAUGGACGGGCAUCUGAGGAACUUCCGGAUCCGGGGGCCUAAACAUGGAUGUGUGCCUGAGGAACUUCCGGAUCCGGGGGCUUAAACAUGGAUGUGUCCCUGGAACUUCUGGGUCCUUGUGCCUGUAAAGGGAGGGCGUGACUCUUACAAGGGAUGUGGCCCAUGAAGGGGAGCCGAGUAUGGGGCCUGUUGGGGGGCAGACUGAGCUGUCACACCCUGAACUUGAAUGUGACAGUGGCCUCACUUCCCGACCGUCCCCUGGGUGUCACUUCGUCCCCUUCCAGGUGGUGCCGGGGAGGAAGUGAGACCAGGCACAGGGACACCAUCUUUCUCCUCGCUUAGCCAGGCGCCCGGCCUGGCUGGGGACGGGGACGUCUUGUGACACUGGCUGCCUCCUGCAUCCCUGCCCCAGGACCUCAGGGACCACAAGCGGGGACAGUCAUUGACAUGAUUCUCCCCUGGCUGCUGACCCUUAACCCCCCGGGGUCUGCCCAGGGAGAGCUCUGUCUCCCAGAGGGUCAGGGGGCCCCUGUGACCUCCUUGCUCCUUACCCACCGUCAUCCUGGGCGAGCAAAGGUCAGGACACCAGACGCUACUGAGAGUGACAUCUCCUGGAUGGGCGGCUGGGGACUUUGCCUCUGUCCCCAGGCCUCGGACACCGCAUGAUCCCCCUCCACUUCCCCAGAGACAGAAAAUAACCCCACACUGCCCAAGACUUAUUUUUAAGCUUUGGAUUCUGAAAUUUUCCUGCCGCCACCUUCUUUGUGAAGCCAGUUUUCCAACAGAGACAAUAUUCCAGGGGAGAAAAAAAUAAAAAACCAACAUGGAGUCAAUCAAACCAAGCUGACACAUCUGGUCCUCCCAGAGAAAUCUGGAUUGAGGGGAGAACAGCCAUUCUCAACUGGCAAAAUAGUGAAGUUCCCUUGUCCUUAUUUUGUGUAAGCAAAACAAAUAAUCUGAUGUUGACUCAUCAAAUUAUUUUUGCUGAAUGCUUGGCUCAUAGGAAAACUGAUUCUGUUUUAUGGAAUGAAGUGUUACCUGAUUUUAAAAUGUAAAAUGAAGCCAAUUAGGAUUGUUAAAUUCCACUGUCAUAAUUCUGUUCUUUGAUAGCAGAAAUAAAUAAACCUUAAAAAAAA
rnacentral:lncRNA from 1 species